rnacentral:rRNA from 1 species
GACAGAGGGUGCAAACGUUGCUCGGAAUUACUGGGCGUAAAGGGCGUGUAGGCGGGAAGGCAAGUCGGGCGUGAAAGCCCCAGGCUCAACCUGGGAACUGCACUCGAAACUGCCUUUCUUGAGUGCCGGAGAGGAAAGCGGAAUUCCUGGUGUAGAGGUGAAAUUCGUAGAUAAUCAGGAGGAACACCAGUGGCGAAGGCGGCUUUCUGGACGGUAACUGACGCUGAGACGCGAAAGCGUGGGAGCA